rnacentral:rRNA from 1 species
GACGGAGGAUGCAAGUGUUAUCCGGAAUCACUGGGCGUAAAGCGUCUGUAGGCGGUUUAAUAAGUCAACUGUUAAAUCUUGAGGCUCAACUUCAAAAUCGCAGUCGAAACUAUUAGACUAGAGUAUAGUAGGGGUAAAGGGAAUUUCCAGUGGAGCGGUGAAAUGCGUAGAGAUUGGAAAGAACACCAAUGGCGAAAGCACUUUACUGGGCUAUCACUGACACUGAGAGACGAAAGCUAGGGUAGCAAAUGGG